UUUAUUGAUGGACUAGCAAUGAAGUACUUUGCAAGUAUGCAUAACAUUUCAAAUUUUUAUGUAAUUUGUGCAUUAAUGUUUUACCCCAUGAAUAAUAUAUA
rfam:Callithrix jacchus mitochondrial DNA, nearly complete genome